rnacentral:rRNA from 1 species
GACGAACGCUGGCGGCGUGCUUAACACAUGCAAGUCGAACGGUAAGGCCCUUCGGGGUACACGAGUGGCGAACGGGUGAGUAACACGUGGGUGAUCUGCCCUGCACUUCGGGAUAAGCCUGGGAAACUGGGUCUAAUACCGGAUAGGACCACUGCCUGCAUGGGUGGUGGUGGAAAGCUUUUGCGGUGUGGGAUGGGCCCGCGGCCUAUCAGCUUGUUGGUGGGGUGAUGGCCUACCAAGGCGACGACGGGUAGCCGGCCUGAGAGGGUGACCGGCCACACUGGGACGGAGAUACGGCCCAGACUCCUACGGGAGGCAGCAGUGGGAAAUAUUGCACAAUGGGCGCAAGCCUGAUGCAGCGACGCCGCGUGGGGGAUGACGGCCUUCGGGUUGUAAACCUCUUUCAGCACCGACGAAGCGCAAGUGACGGUAGGUGCAGAAGAAGGACCGGCCAACUACGUGCCAGCCGCCGCGGUAA